GACGAACGCUGGCGGCGUGCCUAAUACAUGCAAGUAGAACGCUGAAGGAGGAGCUUGCUUCUCUGGAUGAGUUGCGAACGGGUGAGUAACGCGUAGGUAACCUGCCUGGUAGCGGGGGAUAACUAUUGGAAACGAUAGCUAAUACCGCAUAAGAGUAGAUGUCGCAUGACAUUUGCUUAAAAGGUGCAAUUGCAUCACUACCAGAUGGACCUGCGUUGUAUUAGCUAGUUGGUGAGGUAACGGCUCACCAAGGCAACGAUACAUAGCCGACCUGGGAGGGGGAUCGGCCACACUGGGACUGGGACACGGCCCAGAAUCCUACGGGAGGCAGCAGUAGGGAAUCUUCGGCAAUGGACGGAAGUCUGACCGAGCAACGCCGCGUGAGUGAAGAAGGUUUUCGGAUCGUAAAGCUCUGUUGUAAGAGAAGAACGAGUGUGAGAGUGGAAAGUUCACACUGUGACGGUAUCUUACCAGAAAGGGACGGCUAACUACGUG
rnacentral:rRNA from 1 species